rnacentral:lncRNA from 1 species
AUAAAAGGGAAGUUUGAGUAUUAUUUCAGGGUGUGAAACUGCAAUGAGGCUAUUGUGACAUGUGGCACAUCACAGCUAAAAUAUACUUGAACAUGAGAUAAGAUUUGCCGUCAAAAUUGUCUUCAAACUUACUUUGAAAGGGAAAAAUCUCUUUAAAUGUUAGAAAGGGAAGUUAAACUAGUUGAUCUCAUUGAAUGGAACAUUGAGAUUUUGAACACCUUGGGAUUUUCUCCGCAGUGCGAUAGGACGAAAGAACAUGUAGUACAAACUACCAAUCAUACAAGUUCCACCUAUGGCAAACUUAGUAUGAACUACACUGCCAAUCUACUGAGUAACAAGGGAAAGUAAAGCAUAGAGCGGCAUAUGAACUGUGCACAGAACUACUUCCGUCCCAUACCAAGAUGUGGGAGAAAACGACAGCUGAGGAAAUUAAUCAUGAAGUUCAACCUAUUACAAACUUAGUAUGAACUACACUGCCAAUCUACUGAGUAACAAGGGAAAGUAAAGCAUAGAGCGGCAUGAGCUGUGCACGGAGUUAAAAUUA